AAAUGUUCCUACCUCGUCUCGUCUUAACACGAAGGCUCAGCAUUCCCCAACAGUCCCAUUACAAGUCAGAAUAGGUUAAUCAGCAAGCGUGGUGGAAUUGGCUUGGUGUGUCAUGCCCAUAGGCUGAAGUGAAUAGUUGAAUGACAUUCCCCACGCUUGACAAUAGUAAAGGAGGAAGAGACGUUAUGGUGAUGAGGUAACAAUGUAAACAUUACCAUAGUAAUAUCUGCUAUGUGAGAUGGUAGAGACGUGAUGAGGUAACAAUGUAAACAUUACCAUAGUAAUAUCUGCUAUGUGAGAUGGUAGAGACGUGAUGAGGUAACAAUGUAAACAUUACCAUAGUAAUAUCUGCUAUGUGAGAUGGUAGAGACGUGAUGAGGUAACAAUGUAAACAUUACCAUAGUAAUAUCUGCUAUGUGAGAUGGUAGAGACGUGAUGAGGUAACAAUGUAAACAUUACCAUAGUAAUAUCUGUUAUGUGAGAUGGUAGAGACGUGAUGAGGUAACAAUGUAAACAUUACCAUAGUAAUAUCUGCUAUGUGAGAUGGUAGAGACGUGAUGAGGUAACAAUGUAAACAUUACCAUAGUAAUAUCUGUUAUGUGAGAUGGUAGAGACGUGAUGAGGUAACAAUGUAAACAUUACCAUAGUAAUAUCUGUUAUGUGAGAUGGUAGAGACGUGAUGAGGUAACAAUGUAAACAUUACCAUAGUAAUAUCUGUUAUGUGAGAUGGUAGAGACGUGAUGAGGUAACAAUGUAAACAUUACCAUAGUAAUAUCUGUUAUGUGAGAUAAAAAGCGAUGUGAAUUAUAUUUUAUAUUACUGGAUGAAUUUAAGUGACAAGCCAUUCAGACGAUCCUGAUUGAUCGUAAACUACAUUAUACUGACAUUUAUUUAAAACUGUAUUUUAUUAUUUCACCUUUAUUUAACCAGGUAGGCAAAGUGAGAACAAGUUCUCAUUUACAACUGCGACCUGGCCAAGAUAAAGCAAAGCAGUGUGAAAAAAACAACACAGAGUUACACAUCGGAUAAACAAACGUACAGUCAAUAACACAAUAGAAAAGAAAAAUCUAUGUACAGUGUGUGUAAAUGUAGAAGAGUAGGGAGGUAAGGCAAUAAAGCCAUAGCUAAAUAAUUACAAUUUAACAUUAACACUGGAGUGAUAGAUGUGCAGAUGAUGAUGUGCAAGUAGAGAUACUGGGGUGCAAACGAACAAGAGGGUAAGUAAUAACAUGGGGAUGAGGUAGUCGGGUGUGCUAUUUACAGAUGGGCUGUGUAGAGGUAGUGAUCGGUAAGCUGCUCUGACAGCUGAUGCUUAAAGUUAGAGGGGGAGAUAUAAGACUACAGCUUCGGUGAUUUAUGCAGUUUGUUCCAGUCAUUGGCAGCAGAGAACUGGAAGGAAAGGCGACCAAAAGAAGUGUUGGCUUUGAGGGUGACCAGUGAAAUAUAUCUGCUGGAACGCGUGCUACGGGUGGGUGCUGCUAUGGUGACCAGUGAGCUGAGAUAAG